AUGAACGCUAGCUACAGGCUUAACACAUGCAAGUCGAGGGGCAGCAUGGUCUUAGCUUGCUAAGGCCGAUGGCGACCGGCGCACGGGUGAGUAACACGUAUCCAACCUGCCGUCUACUCUUGGACAGCCUUCUGAAAGGAAGAUUAAUACAAGAUGGCAUCAUGAGUCCGCAUGUUCACAUGAUUAAAGGUAUUCCGGUAGACGAUGGGGAUGCGUUCCAUUAGAUAGUAGGCGGGGUAACGGCCCACCUAGUCUUCGAUGGAUAGGGGUUCUGAGAGGAAGGUCCCCCACAUUGGAACUGAGACACGGUCCAAACUCCUACGGGAGGCAGCAGUGAGGAAUAUUGGUCAAUGGGCGAGAGCCUGAACCAGCCAAGUAGCGUGAAGGAUGACUGCCCUAUGGGUUGUAAACUUCUUUUAUAAAGGAAUAAAGUCGGGUAUGCAUACCCGUUUGCAUGUACUUUAUGAAUAAGGAUCGGCUAACUCCGUGCCAGCAGCCGCGGUAAUACGGAGGAUCCGAGCGUUAUCCGGAUUUAUUGGGUUUAAAGGGAGCGUAGAUGGAUGUUUAAGUCAGUUGUGAAAGUUUGCGGCUCAACCGUAAAAUUGCAGUUGAUACUGGAUAUCUUGAGUGCAGUUGAGGCAGGCGGAAUUCGUGGUGUAGCGGUGAAAUGCUUAGAUAUCACGAAGAACUCCGAUUGCGAAGGCAGCCUGCUAAGCUGCAACUGACAUUGAGGCUCGAAAGUGUGGGUAUCAAACAGGAUUAGAUACCCUGGUAGUCCACACGGUAAACGAUGAAUACUCGCUGUUUGCGAUAUACAGCAAGCGGCCAAGCGAAAGCGUUAAGUAUUCCACCUGGGGAGUACGCCGGCAACGGUGAAACUCAAAGGAAUUGACGGGGGCCCGCACAAGCGGAGGAACAUGUGGUUUAAUUCGAUGAUACGCGAGGAACCUUACCCGGGCUUAAAUUGCAGAUGAAUUACGGUGAAAGCCGUAAGCCGCAAGGCAUCUGUGAAGGUGCUGCAUGGUUGUCGUCAGCUCGUGCCGUGAGGUGUCGGCUUAAGUGCCAUAACGAGCGCAACCCUUGUUGUCAGUUACUAACAGGUCAUGCUGAGGACUCUGACAAGACUGCCAUCGUAAGAUGUGAGGAAGGUGGGGAUGACGUCAAAUCAGCACGGCCCUUACGUCCGGGGCUACACACGUGUUACAAUGGGGGGUACAGAGGGCCGCUACCACGCGAGUGGAUGCCAAUCCCCAAAACCUCUCUCAGUUCGGACUGGAGUCUGCAACCCGACUCCACGAAGCUGGAUUCGCUAGUAAUCGCGCAUCAGCCACGGCGCGGUGAAUACGUUCCCGGGCCUUGUACACACCGCCCGUCAAGCCAUGGGAGCCGGGGGUACAAGAAGUGCGUAACCGCGAGGAGCGCCCUAGGGUAAAACUG
rnacentral:rRNA from 1 species